UGUAGGUGGGCAUCAUUCAAUCUGUUGAGGGCCUGAACAAAACAAAAGGUGAGGAAGGAGGAGUUUGCACAUUUUCCUGCCUCGCUGCUGGAGCUGUGACUCAUUUCAUCUUCUCCUGCCUGUGGACUGGUUUUACACCAGGGGCUCCUCUGGUUCUCAGACCUUUGCACUUGGACUGAGUUGUACCUCUGGCUUUCCUGGGUCUCAAGUUUACAGAUGGCAGAUCAUAGGACUUCUCCGUCUCCAUAAUUGCGUGAGCCAAUUCCUCAAAAUAAAUCAUCUUUUAUACGGGAGAAAUAGCAAAUGACUGUCUGGGAACUUCCUGAAAUCUGCCUCCUCUUCCACAAGAAAACCUGCUCCUCCUGCUCUUGGAGGUAAAACAGACUCCAUCACAAUGACACAGCUCCAAAAAGCUCA
rnacentral:lncRNA from 1 species